UACGUAGGGUGCAAGCGUUUGUCCGGAAUUAUUGGGCGUAAAGAGCUCGUAGGCGGUUUGUUGCGUCGGCUGUGAAAUCCCGAGGCUCAACCUCGGGUCUGCAGUCGAUACGAGCAAACUAGAGUGUUGCAGGGGAGACUGGAAUUCCUGGUGAUAGCGGUGAAAUGCGCAGAUAUCAGGAGGAACACCGGUGGCGAAGGCGGGUCUCUGGGCAAUUCCUGACGCUGGAGGCGCGAAAGCGUGGGGAGCAAACGGG
rnacentral:rRNA from 1 species